rnacentral:rRNA from 1 species
GACGAACGCUGGCGGCGUGCCUAAUACAUGCAAGUCGAACGAACUCUGGUAUUGAUUGGUGCUUGCAUCAUGAUUUACAUUUGAGUGAGUGGCGAACUGGUGAGUAACACGUGGGAAACCUGCCCAGAAGCGGGGGAUAACACCUGGAAACAGAUGCUAAUACCGCAUAACAACUUGGACCGCAUGGUCCGAGCUUGAAAGAUGGCUUCGGCUAUCACUUUUGGAUGGUCCCGCGGCGUAUUAGCUAGAUGGUGGGGUAACGGCUCACCAUGGCAAUGAUACGUAGCCGUCCUGAGAGGGUAAUCGGCCACAUUGGGACUGAGACACGGCCCAAACUCCUACGGGAGGCAGCAGUAGGGAAUCUUCCACAAUGGACGAAAGUCUGAUGGAGCAACGCCGCGUGAGUGAAGAAGGGUUUCGGCUCGUAAAACUCUGUUGUUAAAGAAGAACAUAUCUGAGAGUAACUGUUCAGGUAUUGACGGUAUUUAACCAGAAAGCCACGGCUAACUACGUGCCAGCAGCCGCGGUAAUACGUAGGUGGCAAGCGUUGUCCGGAUUUAUUGGGCGUAAAGCGAGCGCAGGCGGUUUUUUAAGUCUGAUGUGAAAGCCUUCGGCUCAACCGAAGAAGUGCAUCGGAAACUGGGAAACUUGAGUGCAGAAGAGGACAGUGGAACUCCAUGUGUAGCGGUGAAAUGCGUAGAUAUAUGGAAGAACACCAGUGGCGAAGGCGGCUGUCUGGUCUGUAACUGACGCUGAGGCUCGAAAGUAUGGGUAGCAAACAGGAUUAGAUACCCUGGUAGUCCAUACCGUAAACGAUGAAUGCUAAGUGUUGGAGGGUUUCCGCCCUUCAGUGCUGCAGCUAACGCAUUAAGCAUUCCGCCUGGGGAGUACGGCCGCAAGGCUGAAACUCAAAGGAAUUGACGGGGGCCCGCACAAGCGGUGGAGCAUGUGGUUUAAUUCGAAGCUACGCGAAGAACCUUACCAGGUCUUGACAUACUAUGCAAAUCUAAGAGAUUAGACGUUCCCUUCGGGGACAUGGAUACAGGUGGUGCAUGGUUGUCGUCAGCUCGUGUCGUGAGAUGUUGGGUUAAGUCCCGCAACGAGCGCAACCCUUAUUAUCAGUUGCCAGCAUUAAGUUGGGCACUCUGGUGAGACUGCCGGUGACAAACCGGAGGAAGGUGGGGAUGACGUCAAAUCAUCAUGCCCCUUAUGACCUGGGCUACACACGUGCUACAAUGGAUGGUACAACGAGUUGCGAACUCGCGAGAGUAAGCUAAUCUCUUAAAGCCAUUCUCAGUUCGGAUUGUAGGCUGCAACUCGCCUACAUGAAGUCGGAAUCGCUAGUAAUCGCGGAUCAGCAUGCCGCGGUGAAUACGUUCCCGGGCCUUGUACACACCGCCCGUCACACCAUGAGAGUUUGUAACACCCAAAGUCGGUGGGGUAACCUUUUAGGAACCAGCCGCCUAAGGUGGGACAGAUGAUUAGGGUGAAG